CCUCUUUCAUCUCAAGACUUCUGAAGCUUCUCCAGAAAUGUUCCUGCCUUUGACCUGACACUGGACCUGCUCUAGCCACUGAAGCUAUUCAAGGCCUGAUCUUCCAUUUCAUUGGAUGGGGAAACUCCCCGGGCUGUCUCCAGACUCUUCCCAGUAAACAUUCUGCACUGGAAGAUUAUGAAAAUAGCAUGCAAUACAUGCUUCUCUACUGAAUCAGCCACCAACUAUAAAGUCGAUUCAGAGUUACAGAGAAGCCUCUGAGUUAAAGUCGGCCCUGAAAAAGGAAGCAUCUGGUUCAGCUGUGUGGAUAUCACUUUGGAAUUCUGGAGUUCCAGGGCUCCCCAAUCCCACAACAGCCUGCACUGGGUGGCCCUGCCUCUCCUGCUCAGCUUGCAGAAUGAAAUUAAAUGUAUUCAUCAGCCUAGCCUCUGUAAACUUACAGUAAACAAAACUUGUUUGAAAUGACAGAAUACUACCCUGCCAUUUUCCAUAAAAAUGAAACAGACCACAAAACCAAAGGAUAUUCCAGCACAUACAAAUUUAUCAUCGCCAACAGCAAUGUGACAUGAUAAUGUGGGUACCCCUAUACUGGAUAACAUGAUGAUACCACAGUUAAGACUUGGAAAAAGCCUGCUCCUGCCUAAGAGAACUUCUGAACAAUUUAUCCAUCCGUAUGACAUCUCUCUAAGACACUAACACCUUAUGAACUUAAUUUUGCUGGUAAGAAAAAAUAUACUAGUUACAUUUCAGUACUUUGCUACAGUAACUUGAUUAUGCACUUCCCUGAAAAAAGGAGAGAAGGGGGUGAGACAGCAUCCUUUCUAAUGCUUGCAUUAUGUAGGCUGUCAUGUCUUUACAGUGUUCAUUGUUACUGAAGACCUAUGCUUGAGAUUUCCUCUGUGUGGUCCAAGACUUAAAUAUGCUUUAUCUCACUUUUGUAUUUAGGUGAUUUGAAACACCAGAAAUAUCUAAAUCUUGCAA